rnacentral:rRNA from 1 species
UACAGAGGUCUCAAGCGUUGUUCGGAUUCAUUGGGCGUAAAGGGUGUGUAGGUGGCGCGCUAAGUCAGGUGUGAAAUUUCGGAGCUUAACUCCGAAACUGCAUUUGAUACUGGCGUGCUUGAGGACUGGAGAGGAGACUGGAAUUUACGGUGUAGCGGUGAAAUGCGUAGAUAUCGUAAGGAAGACCAGUGGCGAAGGCGGGGUCUCUGGACAGUUCCUGACGCUGAGGCACGAAGGUCAGGGGAGCAAACGGG